rnacentral:lncRNA from 1 species
UCGUAAGAGUAUGGGAUAGUGUGAUUGCAUACAAAGAUGAUAUGAGUUUCAGCUAUUUUCUAUUCAGAUACUUUGGAUUCUUGUCAAUGUAUAUUUACGUUUUAAAAUUGAUUUGUUGUUUUGGUCCCUCAGAUCCACCACACACUACAUUCAAAGGACGAUCAUUCUUGCUUGCCAAUUUGCCAUCAUGACAUUAGUGAUGAGCGUAUCUAUGUUUUAUAACUGUUACACAUGGCAGAGGUGGGAUGUUUAUUUUCUUACGUUAAGUGCUAUUAUCGCUACAAUCUCAUUAUCUCAAUUGAUUUACGGCAUGGAUGGGCUUGAGGCUGGUUAUAUUGUAUGGAUAACCAUCUUUGGAUCUGCUUGGGGAAUUUUCGGUCUAUAUUUUGAUAUUACAUCAGGAUCAAUUAUCUGUACUUUCUUCAUCACCGCAAUGUUUCAAAUGGCGUUCACAUCAGUAGUUUAUACGGACGCGGUUUU